rnacentral:rRNA from 1 species
GAUGAACGCUGGCGGCGUGCCUAAUACAUGCAAGUCGAGCGAACAGAUGAGGAGCUUGCUCCUCUGACGUUAGCGGCGGACGGGUGAGUAACACGUGGAUAACCUCCCUAUAAGACUGGGAUAACUUCGGGAAACCGGAGCUAAUACCGGAUAAUAUAUUGAACCGCAUGGUUCAAUAGUGAAAGACGGUUUUGCUGUCACUUAUAGAUGGAUCCGCGCCGCAUUAGCUAGUUGGUAAGGUAACGGCUUACCAAGGCAACGAUGCGUAGCCGACGGGAGAGGGGGAUAGGCCACACUGGAACGGAGACACGGACCAGACGCCUACGGGAGGCAGCAGUAGGGAAUCUGCCGCAAUGGGCGAAAGCCUGACGGAGCAACGCCGCGUGAGUGAUGAAGGUCUUCGGAUCGUAAAACUCUGUUAUUAGGGAAGAACAAAUGUGUAAGUAACUAUGCACGUCUUGACGGUACCUAAUCAGAAAGCCACGGCUAACUACGUG